GUUGAACGCUGGCGGAAUGCUUUACACAUGCAAGUCGAACGGCAGCACGGACUUCGGUCUGGUGGCGAGUGGCGAACGGGUGAGUAAUGUAUCGGAACGUAUCCAAUAAUGGGGGAUAACUAGUCGAAAGAUUAGCUAAUACCGCAUACGCCCUACGGGGGAAAGCUAGGGACCUUCGGGCCUGGCGUUAAUGGAGCGGCCGAUAUCUGAUUAGCUAGUUGGUGAGGUAAAAGCUCACCAAGGCGACGAUCAGUAGCUGGUCUGAGAGGACGACCAGCCACACUGGAACUGAGACACGGUCCAGACUCCUACGGGAGGCAGCAGUGGGGAAUUUUGGACAAUGGGCGAAAGCCUGAUCCAGCCAUUCCGCGUGAGUGAAGAAGGCCUUCGGGUUGUAAAGCUCUUUCGCAGGAGAAGAAAACUUACCCUCUAACAUAGGGUGAGGCUGACGGUAUCUUGAUAAGAAGCACCGGCUAACUACGUGCCAGCAGCCGCCGUAAAAC
rnacentral:rRNA from 1 species